rnacentral:lncRNA from 1 species
GACACUUGGAUUUUGGCUGUUCCUACUACUCUUCAUGGGAAUUUGUGGGGAACCAAACAAACAGGUGCUCUGGGCUUGAACAGGGCUGCUUUGUCCUUAACUUCUUAACUGGGCAUAACGAGGUUCUCAUACUGCAUGGUGCUGCCAGACAAUGAGGAAUCAGUAAGCAGGAUAUAUUUUGGAUCAGAAAAACAAAGUUCUCAUACUGCAUGGUGCUGCCAGACAAUGAGGAAUCAGUAAGCAGGAUAUAUUUUGGAUCAGAAAAACAAAGUUCUCAUACUGCAUGGUGCUGCCAAACUCCAUUUGAUCAAGAGGAAAAGGCCUACUACUAUGUCACUCUGAAUGAAAUUAGCAUUGGUGAUCAAGAUGUUCCUCUCCCUGAUGGGUUUUUAGUAUGAUAAGUGAUGGGGAAGGAGGGUUUGUUUUUGAUUCAGGCACAACUUAUACGAUGCUUCGAUCAGAAGCAUAUGACGUAUUCGUCACGGCACUGCACAAAGCCAUACGCUUGCUGCAAAGGAGAGAUCCGAUGGAAUGGUUUGAGAAGUGUUUCGAGGGAAGUUUUCAGGACUUGGACUCUGCAGGACCAGAUGUCACAUUUUUUUUUUAUGGUGUACAAGUCAUGCUAACGAAGCAAACUACUUACAUUGAAGUAGAGCAGGUACUUUGGUGCCUUGCCAUUAUCAGGUCCAAUGAAAAGUUGUCCACAUUUGGAAAUAUUCAGCAGCGGAACUAUUUUGUUGGUUAUGACGUUGAACAAGGAGUGG